GAUGAACGCUGGCGGCGUGCCUAAUACAUGCAAGUCGAGCGAACAGACGAGGAUCUUGCUCCUCUCACGUUAGCCGCGGACGGGUGUGUCACGCGUGGAUAACCUACCUAUAAGACUGGGAUAACUUCGGGAAACCGGAUCUAAUACCGUAUAAUAUAUUGAACCACAGGGUUGAAUAGUGAGAGUCGGUUUUGCUGUCACUUAUAGAUGGUUCCGCGCCGGAUUAGCUAGUUGUUAGGGUAACGGCUUACCAAGGCAACGAUGCGUAGCCGACCUGAUAGAGGGGUAGGCCACCCUGGAGCGGAGCCACGGCCCAGAGGACUAUGGGAGGCAGCAGUAGGGUAUCGGCGGCAGCGGGGGAAAGCCUGACGGAGCAGGGGGGCGUGUGUGAUGAAGGCCUUGGGAUCGGAAAACUGUGUUAUGAGUGAAGAACAACUGUGUACGGAGAUAAGCCGGUCGUGACGGUACCGGAUCAGGAAGCAACGGCUAACUACGUG
rnacentral:rRNA from 1 species